UAGAGGCGGAGACCGGAAGUGGGCGCCGUGCGGAUGACGUAAUCGGAGUACGUCGCGGCUAGGGGCUUUCGGCUGCCCGCCGGCUUCUUGGUGCGCGAGGCAGACGCCGGGAGCCGAAGUGUGGGUGGCGGUUGCCAUGGAGUCGGACGGCAAAGGGCCCUACGUGCUGAGUAACCUGGCUGAGGUGGUGGAGCGGAUCCUGAGCUUCCUGCCCACCAAGGCAUUACUGCGAGCGGCCUGUGUUUGCCGGUUAUGGAGAGAAUGUGCCCGAAGAUUACUGAGAACACAGCAGAGCAUAGCAUGGGUCUCUGCACUUGAGCCUGGUCCAUCUGAUAGUCAUUCACUGGUCCAUGCAUUAGCCGAAGAACUUGAGAAUGUGCAUGUGCUACCACAAACAGUGCUCUACAUUGCAGAUGCAGAGACUUUCAGUGGAUAUGAAGAGUGUCACGGACAAAAGAGAGCAAGGAAAAGAAAUAGUAAAGAAACAGCAGUUGCACUAGAAAAGCUGUUGCCGAAACGGUGCCAAGUUCUGGGACUGGUCACUCCUGGAAUUGUAGUUACUCCAAUGGGCUCAAGCAGCAAUCGACCUCAAGAAAUCGAAGAUGGUGAAGCUGGCUUUGUUUUAUUGUUCCCUAAAAUUGAUGGUGUGAAAAUCCAGACCUUUCACUUUUUUAAAGACUUGAAGAAUAGGGUUUUUGAUGAAAGCAAAUUCACUGAAGCAGGACUUAAAAAUAAUCCGGAGCUCCGUGUGGUUCUUCUAUUUGUCUACAAUUCCUGGAAGCCAGGAGCUAAUCGGUUUCUUCAUCAGAUAAUCAAUCCUUUAAAUGAAAAAAGUAUCAUCUUGGCUGGGGGGCAUGUGGAGAGCUUGACGUCACUGAGCUCUGAGAAGCAUGUCAUCUCGUCCUUGACACAAAGCAGAAUGGAGAUCAGUUUGGUGAAAAAAGGAAGAAGUGAACACUUCAAAGGCACAAGGCCUGCAGGCCAAAAGUGGUGUUUAUGACUUCUGGUUUAUAGGAAGCAAAUAUGAUCCUGCUUCUACACACGUUGAAUAUGAUCAGAACGUUCUUAAAUGUUUGUUUUACACCACUGUAAAAUGAAUAGCCUACAUCUUCUAGAUGAGAAUACUAUUGGAUUGCGUAAAACCGUAAAAGUGGACCUUUGGAAGAAAGCAAGAAUAACCUGAUGAAGAUAAAGAGACCACAAAUCAUAUGAUACUAAAUCUUCACAAUUGCAUCAUCUAAAAGGGAUUUCAAUUAAAACCUUAGGAACAGUAAAUCUGCUUUUUUUUUUUUUUUUUGUCAUUUUCUGUGCCGGCAGAUUCCUUUUGGUUCAGGUUAAUAUUGAAAUAAGCUUUAUUUUAACAGAUGAAGACUCUGGGUCUGGUGAGUCAUGCCCUCUUUAGGGAGGGCGGGGGGUGGGGAGGAGAGCAAUAUACUAGAAUCCUGUAAAUGGUUAAACCACAGUCUGACUUUCAGGUACAGCAAAGGUGCCUGGUGAGACUGAACCUCAACUACAAAUUUUGGAAAAUCAGGUGAUUAAAAACAUUCAUUUUCUCAUUUACUUUUCAGGUAAAAAUGAAGCUCUGCUGUAUAUCAAAUGGGAUCUUGGAAUUCACUGACGUCCUGCCAAGAAAAAAAUGGGUAAUACUCUGUUCAUGUACUGUUUCAUUUUUUCAUCAUAUUUUAUCUCCACUUUUGGAAGAGACAGAAGUUUUCUAUUUCGACCAUAAGUCAAUAAAUUGAUUUUUUUUUUAGUCUUCAUUUAUCUAAGAAGGGCUAUUUCUGACAAAUCUCCAAAUUCCUCCAAAUAUGAAGCAUUCAUGGCGAAGUCAGAGAGCUUUUUUAAAAAAAAAAAAAAAUUUCCAAAAUAAAAUAUUUGUCAUCCCAUUUAAGACAAUAGGACUACUCAGAUGAGUACAUUUACACAUGUGUAGAAGUUUGCCCAGCACCUGGCCCAAUCUGAGUAGCCGCAAGGUAGUGAAUAUGUGUAAGUACAUGCUUUAUGUAAAACUUCUUUACUGCUGUAGCACCAUCUAUCAGAGAGUCUCCAAGUGCUUUACAAGCUAAAUAAAUGUAAUCAAUGUCCCGGUCAGCUGAUAUUUUUUUCAUGAGUGUUUCCGGGAAAGAAAACUUUGGCUGGCACAUUCACAGCGCAUCUAUACUAGGAAAAAAGGUGGUAGAUUUUGCUUUCUUAGUGUUCCUAGUGUGGACAAGGCAGAUGUACUUUUUGCAAGUGUUAGCAGGACCAGAUAAACCCUAGAUCAUGAUUUUCAUGAAUCUAUUCUUUGUUUGAAAUUAUUCACUGAAUGUUUUACAAGAAUGUGGUUCAGCUAGUGGGUGGCUCACAAAUACAAGUAGCAACUGCACACAUUGGAGCUAUGAAAUUUGAGCUGUUUUGUUUGAACAUAGAUCAUGUGGUAUGUUACUGUCCCCUGAGCACAACUGUCAGUCAGACCUAGUCUGCAUUUGAUAAAUGAUGCUGUUUAGGUACACAUCAGAUCAGCUUUGAACAGCCCUCACUUCUGGCUAUCCAGUUUGGAAGUAUACUCCCUAACUGGCUGCUCAGAGGUGUGCCCUCUAUGCAACAGGGCAGGCUGGAUCUAAAUUCUGUGGCUCUGUUGCUGGAUUCUGUGGCACAAUAGAAGUUUUCAUGGCCAUUUAAGUUUAAAUAAUGAUGGUUUAUAAUGAAAUACAGAAAUAAGACCAUUUAGUACAGGAACCCUCAUGUUUAUUUUGAUAUUGAAUUUAAUUUGUUAUGCUGUCCCCACAUUUUCAGUUUUUAUUAAAUAGUGGAUUUUUGUAUUGACAACAUGUAACUGCAGUGUAGAAGCUGGAGGUUUCAGAAGCUGCAUAGGGGACGGUUGGAAGCUUUGUUUUUGAGGAGGAGGUGGAAGUCAGUUUCAGAUUAUGAGAGAAAGCACAUUAACUGGAUGUUUCUGCUAGAAUUAUCCACUGUGAAACAGGUGACAUGGGGUGGGCUUUUUCAAAAACACCUCAGUGAUUUAGGAGCAUAAAUUUCAUUCCUAAAUCACUUAAGCACUUUUGAAAAAUCGCACCGUAGAAGUGCUAUAAUUGGGGUGUUAACUGAAACCUAUUGAGAUGAAAGGGCAGUUCACACUUCUUGAUGUAAUUAUUAUUUAUUUAUUUUCAGACUGGCUGCAAGCUCUGGCAAACAUCACUGAAUUAUUUAUGUUCACUUCACCUUUUCCAAGUCAUCUUAGCAAUUAUAAAGUUACAAAUGUCUUUUUAAAAGAAGUUUUGUCCUGGGAGUACACAGGCAGAGGGGGGGGAAAGAGGAAUUCUUACAACCUGCCUCGAAGAUUGAGGGAAGUGACAGAAUACCCAGAAGUAACAGCCAAAGUAGUGGAUGCUGUGAUGGAGAAAAGAAUGUUGAGAUAUGGAUACAUAGAUACAUCAGCUUACACAGACUAUGAUCACAAACAAAAAGGAAGCAAAACCAGGUAUAUACUUUAGGAAUAUAUGAGAAAUGGGUAACUUUAAGUAUAAUAAAGAAAAACUGUUUAAAUUUUUUCAGUGUCCUUUUGAUAUUGGAAUGAUUUUUAUCUUCAAACUAUAAGAAAGGCAGCUAUGCCUGAAAGGAUUUCAUACCGUCUAGCAUUACUCUUAAUGGAAAAAAAUUGACAAAUGCUUUAUCCUAGAUUCUUUUGACUUAUCCAGUGUUAUAUUGGGGGUGGGGGGUGUUAGAGGAAUUCUUAUUUUUCCAUAGCUCUGCAACUGAGCAUAUAGCUGCUAACAAUAAGUGUGUUAAGAAAUCAGGGUUUUGUGGUCUAAAUAGGUGCUUAACUGGUAACAUCAGUAAAACUGCCAGUGAAUGACAGUGUUUCCGGACUAGUAUGCUUGGAUUUUUAGGGUAGUCCGAAGCGGGGAGGGGGAAGGAAUACCAACCAAUCCACAAUUCCUCCAGCAAAUAUUUGAAACAUCUUUAUAAUGUUUCAAUCUGAAGAAAGUCAAAUACCAGUGCAAUAUGAUUUUGUAUUGUGUUUUUCUACAUGUUACCAUAAAAGAGAAAGUUGCUCCAGGCCACAUGCAUGACCACUGUUCAUGAAAGAUCUCUUCACACAACUACUCCUCCCACUUACGUAUCUAAUUUUAUAAUUUAAUCAUUACCAAAUACCUGGCAGGAAUUAUAUCUUCUGAUCCCUUAGAUUUCAUAAUUAUUUUUUCCAAUUCUGUGAGGGCUCUAACUAAAGCAACUCAUAGUAUGAAUGGUUUUUAAAUAUUAAGUAAUUAAAAGUGAGGAUUUCUAAUGGGACAAACAUUUUCUGUAUUUCAUCUGUCCACUAGUUUCCCUUUUUAAAUAACCAUCAUUCUGCAGAAGCUCAUCUCCUUUCCUUAAAGACAAAAAAUAACCCAAAAGAUCUGAGGAAGACUAGAAUUCCAUUUUAUCGCAGUAAGUUUGGGAGAUUCUGGUCUAUCUCUAACCCUUAUUUUCUCCUGUAACUUUAGGGUAAGAAGUAGACUUCUACCAAGUAGACUUCCUUCUGUUUUCCCCUUGAUUUUUGGGAAUAAAAAUCAAAGCAAUUAGUAGAAUAGGAAACUCCUCUUGUUCUCUUUCCACUUGUUUCUCUCUCUCUCUCUGGUGUACCUUGUUACCAAUGUUCAAGGUGGGUCACCCAGUAAGAACCUUUUAUAUGGGGCACUGCCACGUUGCCUUAUGAUUUAGUUCUGGAAAGAGUCUUCCUGUUAAUUUUAGCCAUUUUGUUUCCCCAAAUGAGCUGGAGGAUUUUCUAACAUCUUAUGGGAAAUCUUUACUGGAAUAUUCUGGAAGAGGAAGGUGAUUCUCAGGAGCAACAUUAUUGUUAUGGUAAUAAUGUUGCCAAAUGACUAUAAUCAUCUCUUGUUUUUCAAUCACUUUUUAAUUUUUUUUAACAAGCACAGGUGGUGGCUUCAUAUAAUGUUAUUAAAUGGAAAAUAACAUUGACCACUACACAAUUGUAUGUGAUGUUUGGCUAACUUGCAUUUAAAAUUAAUUUGUAGCCUUGUCUGACAUUGAUCUUUAAGGCAAACUGACAUGACUUGCAAUUUUGUAUAAUUAAUUUUAAAACCUAUGACCUCCCUAAAUGCCAUUCUUUUGAGGGAUUCUGCAAUCAUGAAUAGGACUUCAUCCACAAAGAAUGCUAUUUUAUGGAUUGACUUCUUUGCAUUUAAAUCCUGUAUUAGUUUAAUUUUUCUAAUUUUCUGUGUAAAUGGUUUCUUGGUUAAUACAAACAAGGUGGGGAAUAGUGGAAAACUUUGCCAUAGGCUUCUACAAAAUGAGAGCGGCUCUGAAUAUUUAUUAUUGACUCUUUCUUUAGCUUUUAUAGAUUGGUAUAAGAUUUCAGUCCAUUUUUUUCUUUUACUUUCUAGACCUAAUCCCUUCAUAAACUUCCAUUUAACUUGCUCAUAGACCUUUUCCACAUCUAGUGAAAGUAACAUACCUGACCUCCUUAUCUUUGAUAGGCUUGAAUGGAUCACAAUCAGUAACCUAUGAAUGUUAUUUAAUAGCUGUCUUCCCUGAUUAAAUCCCAUUUGAUAUAUACUAGUUAUUUUAAGCAUAAAUGAUUCUGUCAACACCUUUGCAAAACUCUUAAAUUCCAUAUUUGACAAUGAGAUGUGCAUAGGUGAAGUAUAUUCAAUCUUAUAUCUUUUGGCCUUUAAAAUCACAGCAAUAUUGACUUCUUUCUUCAUAUCUGCUAAUGUUUUGAAGUCCUGAAAAUUACUUAGAAAUUUGGGGGAAAGCUGAUAAGUCGAAGAUUUGUACAAUUCAAUUGAGAACCUUUCCAGACCAGGUCCUUUACUUGACAGCAUAUUUUGAAUGACUGAUUUGACUUCCUUAAAUUCUUUCUGCAGAUGUUCAGGUAUAACUGGGAGCCCAACUUCUCCAGUGUAAGAACUUGUAUGACAGUGCAUUUCACUCUUGUGUUUUCUGAUACCAAUCAUAGUAUUUUUUUCUUUUUCCUGUCUUAGCCUAUAUGAUGAAUUGUUAUGGCCCUUGUUUCCCAUCCCAUUGUACUUUUGUUUAAACUGAUAUACAAUAUAUUCUAUUUUUUCUGGCCACAGAACAGAGAGUUGCCCUCUAAGGGAGGGAGGCUUAGCCAGCAUUUUCCUUGCACCUGUCUUUUUGUGUAACUUCUCUAAUUUUUUUAUUUCAGAGAGAAAAAACUUGUCUUCUGUAUUUUUUCCCCUUUUAAUUCUAGAGAAUGUCUCAAUUAAUUUCCCCCUCAAUGCUGCUUUAUAAACCUUCCAUAGUGUAUUGGUACAUAAGUUUCCAUUUUUGUCAUUAUUGAAAGAAAUUUUGUUUUUGCUAAUUACAUCAUUCAAUACUAUAAGGUUUUCAAAUAAUGGAUUAUUCAGGUCCCAGUUGCUAUGCCUCCUACAACCAAACAAAUCUUUAAGUGUUGUCAUGCUAGGAAUAGGGACUGACCAUGUAAGCUCAACUCUCUUUGCCUCAGUCAGAAAAUCCUUUAAGCAAGCAGACAGAGAUAUAUAAUCUAUUUGCAUGAACAGCAAAUGGGGAUAUGAAUAAAACAAAUAAUCCCUCACAAAUGGCUUCACAUUCUUCCAUGAAUCCAGUAAACUGAGCUGUGAAAGAUUUUGUUUCAAAUAUGAGCCAGGGGAAUUGGGUUCUUCCUUUCUACUGUCUGAUCUAUCAGCUGUAGGAUUUGAGGUGAGAUUUAAAUCUCCCUCAGCAAUGAGAUCCUCAGAAGAAAAUGUCAAGACAGGAAGAAUAGCACUGGGAAAGGCUCUUUGUCCUGUGUUAGGAGCAUAUACCAAGCACAGGGUAAUUACUCUGCCCAGUAGAUUUCCUUUAACUGUUAUGAAUUUCAUCAUCUUAACACUGUUUUACUUCAAGCUGAAGUCUCUUAGCUAGGAGGCUGGCCAACAAAGUGAUGUUUCUAGACAGUGUGAGGAACCAUUGAAUCACUAUUUAAAACAAAAAUGUAGGUCUUAUAUCAGCUGGAGAGAAAGUGGAGGGAGAGGCCCUUUUAUCCACAUCUGGUGAGUAUGUCUGAAGUCAGCCAAAUUCUGUACAUAUAUCCCAGAUAUGUUUUGAAACCACUGGAUUGAGACAGUCCCUUGACCUCUUUGUGCUGUUUUCAAGCUUUCCUGUGAGAAGGGGAUGAUCUGGUGAAAACCUCUUAAGAUGAUAUACUCUUUACAUGGUGAAAUACCUCAAAGAUUCUCAUGCUCCCUGUCUUUGCAUUGAAAAAGAAAGAACUCCCUGAUAGAACUACUUGGCUGCACAGAGUCUGCAAUACAUUUGUCAGGGGAAAGCACACAGAAGGUUCAAAAAUGGUUCUAAUGAUUUCUCUACAAUGUGACUUCCCUUCUUUGAAAGUAAUCAGGCACUCUGAUAAAUGUAACUAUUUUUCCUUAUUAUGAUCUAUGUGCCAUCUUCUCCCAGUACAUUAGCAGAUUUAUUUGUAUCUAAUUUCUUCUUUGUUCAUCCUGGUUACCAGACCCUCCACAGCACCUGGUAUGUUGUUAUGGUUCCUCUGCAUGUUGCUCUCCCAUGGUUCCUGUUUUAUUGCUUUAUUCUGUUAUUUCUGAAAAGUAAAAAAAAAAAAAAAAAAAUUUUUUUAAUAACAAUUACUCCUCUCUUCCAUCCCCAAAAUAACCCUGCCACUUAAUUUCUAAUGUACUCACUGUUGCAGCCAUUGCUGCUGGUAGUCUCAACCAGGCUGGCACCACGCUCUGUUGCGCUAGCCCUUCGAGUGUUGGCCUUCCUGACCGUGAAUAAGUAACCCA